rnacentral:rRNA from 1 species
CUACGGGUUGCUGCAGUGAGGAAUAUUGCACAAUGGGGGGAACCCUGAUGCAGCAACGCCGCGUGGAGGAUGACACAUUUCGGUGUGUAAACUCCUUUUAUAUGUCAAGAAAAUGACGGUAGCAUAUGAAUAAGCACCGGCUAACUCCGUGCCAGCAGCCGCGGUAAUACGGAGGGUGCAAGCGUUACUCGGAAUCACUGGGCGUAAAGGACGCGUAGGCGGGUUGGAAAGUCAGGUGUGAAAUCCUACAGCUUAACUGUAGAACUGCACUUGAAACUUCUAAUCUAGAGUAUGGGAGGGGGAGAUGGAAUUAGUGGUGUAGGGGUAAAAUCCGUAGAUAUCACUAGGAAUACCUAAAGCGAAGGCGAUCUCCUGGAACAUUACUGACGCUAAGGCGUGAAAGCGUGGAGAGCAAACAGGAUUAGAUACCCCUGUAGUC